AUUUGGUUUCUCAAGUGAUCUGUGUGUUCACCUCCCAAAGCGACCUAAACACACGCUAUCAAUUAAUCACAGCACAGUCAAGUCUGGCUGCCAUGGGACAGAGUAAGAGUGAAUGUGUGUGUGUGUGUGUGUUUAUGAACCAGAGGCAGGCAGAGUCAGAGAGCUCUUUAUUGAGUUUCCAGUCACAUAUUACUACCUCAGCUGCUUGCUUCUCUCCCGCUCUCUCUCCAUUAGCAUUCACCUCAUACCACCCACUCUUCAGAGAUUCCUGAUUCAAGGCAUGGGGGAAUGACUCUGCGCUGGAAUGAGCAAGCCCCAGAAUAUUGGUGAAUUAGUAUUUACUGCAGCGUCUCAUGAGAGCAGGCAGCAGGAUGGUGUGAUCACACUUCCAAAUGACUUCCUCUGCAAGCCCAGGCGAAGUGUUAGCACAGCUCGUCAGACCACUUAAAAGAAGCCCCAAGAACCUGGUUGCCAUGGCAACAGCAGUAGCAGCAGCAUUGUCAUAUCACUGGCCAUGUACCACAUGCAGUAAUUGUUCAAAGGAGUAAACGUCAGCACACAUACGCACACACGGGCGGACGUAUAGAGUGCUUGGCGUUGCUGACGAGGCUCCGGGAUGAGCUGGAGGUUAUUCUUGAGCACUGCUGGGCUACAUGAAGUCACUACUUACAGAAAUAUACCAAUGAUUGAAUAAACUCUUUGAGUUCAUCACGCUGGUGUAAGUUGUCUUUACAUUUAGCACAAUGGGUUAGCACAGUAUGUAACUAUGUAUUGUAUUGAU